GCCCCUGUAGCUCAGCGGAAGAGCGGAAGGCAUACCUCCAGGACAUACCUCCAGGCCUCUGGUUCGACUUCAGUCGGGGACA